GACGAACGCUGGCGGCGUGCUUAACACAUGCAAGUCGAACGGCAAGGCCCUGCUUUUGUGGGGUGCUCGAGUGGCGAACGGGUGAGUAACACGUGAGUAACCUGCCCUUGACUUUGGGAUAACUUCAGGAAACUGGGGCUAAUACCGGAUAGGAGCUCCUGCUGCAUGGUGGGGGUUGGAAAGUUUCGGCGGUUGGGGAUGGACUCGCGGCUUAUCAGCUUGUUGGUGGGGUAGUGGCUUACCAAGGCUUUGACGGGUAGCCGGCCUGAGAGGGUGACCGGCCACAUUGGGACUGAGAGACGGCCCAGACGCCUACGGGAGGCAGCAGUGGGGAAUCUUGCACAAUGGGCGGAAGCCUGAUGCAGCAACGCUGCGUGCGGGAUGACGGCCUUCGGGUUGUAAACCGCUUUCGCCUGUGACGAAGCGUGAGUGACGGUAAUGGGUAAAGAAGCACCGGCUAACUACGUG
rnacentral:rRNA from 1 species